GGGACCAGAGCCGCCCUGUAAGUGGGGGCCAGUGCUCUGGAGUCCCGGGCACUUUGAAGUCCAGGCAGCGGCUUGAGCCCCCUGUAAGCAGGGGUGCAGCCUCUUGGCCGCUGCUUUGCGUGCCCAGCUUCAUUUGCCCAGAGGGCCCGGCUCCCAGCACGGCGUGGGACUGCGCCGGACGUCGCCAUGAACCGUGGGACGGCGAGGCAAGAGCAAACUUGGAGCUGAAGAGGGACACGAGGGGCCCUCUGGGCAAAGGGCUUUUCCAGGCCAGGGCACCUUCAGGGUGCCGCGGCCGGCUUUGCGCUGGGCGACCUCCCUGUGCGCAGGGCUGGGUCUUUGCUGCGGUUGGCCUUUUGCCCUUGUGCUCCUUUGGCUGCCCGGAGAGAGGGGCAACCCUGUAAAGGAGGGUGAGUGCCCCUGUCUCCGCACCGGAGGGGGGAAACGGAGCUCUCCCGGCCCCCAGCCCAGCUACCCUGUAAGCAGGGCAGGGCUUUUCCCCAGCCCCGGCAGCUUUCUGCCUGCUGCCAGCCCCUGGCCAGUGUGACCCCCUGUACUCGGGGCGUGUCACAGCCCGUGUCCCCGUGCCAGGCCUGAAGCGCUUCAGCGCGUCGAGGCCCCUUGUGGCCUCCUCUCAGUGCACGGGCAGGUCUGAUGCUUUCCUCUCCCGCUCAGCAUUAGGAAUGGCUCCCUAGAGUAGGUUGGCUGCACAGAGCUUGCUCCCUCUUCUGGGACUGUCUGUCUCCCCCUCCCCUGUCUGUCUCCCCCUCCCCUGUCUUCCCCUUAGCUGGGUGUGAGUGAGGAAGUGUGUUUGUGCUUUAGCCCCCCGCUUUAGAAACAGAGCAGUGUAGCUCAGACUUCCCAGGAGGGAAAGAGGAGCUCUGUGCAGCCACAGGCGGGUGGCCAAAAUGCACGGGUGGCGAAAGCGUCCGGCCUUGCCCCUGCUUUCUGAGGACGGCGCGAAGCCGCUUAGCGGCAGCGUGGGCACCACGACCCGCCUGUAGCCAGGGCCUGGGCGUGCGCCCACGCUGCCGGUGGUGCUGGUGAACUGCCAGCGCGCGGGCCCCGUACUCGGGGCACGUGUCAGGACCUUGGCGGCACCCUUUGUCCCCAGGAGCAGCCCCGCCCAGGUCCCUGUAAGCAGGGCUGGGGAGGCUCCUUUAGCCAGGCGACAGGAACGAGCGCUCCCGGGCCCUUGCCAGGGGGCAGCUUGCAGAAGGGCCGUGCCGCAGGGCACGGUCCCGCCUUUGGCACUGCCUCGGGCUGGCGCCACAUGCCUGGCGGCCUUGUAGAGGAGGCUGCCGAGGCUCUGCAGACGGCUGUGCUGCCGUGCUGCGCUGCGGCCGGGCUCCGGCCUGUCCCUAAGUGGGGUGCAGGCCGGAGCCUGUGCUCCGCAGUGCUUGUUGGGGGGUGCCGGGCAGCAGGGGGCGGCCCCGUAAGUGGGGUUCUGUGCGUCCCCUGGCCUCGGCGGGCGGUUGGAGGGACCCCCUGUAAUCAGGCGGGUGUCCCUGGCCCCGGUCUUUCAGAGGCAUGGGGCCAGGAGUCAUGGGGCCGGGCGUGUGCCCUCCCUGUCCUCGGGGCUGGGCUCGCGGCCCCUCGGGCCCCUCGGCUUUAGGCCGUGAGCUCGACUGCCUGACUGUAGAGUCAGGUUCCUGUUGCCUUGGGGGAAGGCCGAGCUCCGUGGCUCCCUGGGUGUGGACCGGCCUGUAAGCAGGCUGCGGGUCUGGGAGCCUUUGUGCUCCCUUCAGCUGGCAGCCUGUGUGCGGCGCCCGCCCCGUUAGUGGGGAGCGCCCCGGAACUGGAGAGAAGGAGCCUCCAUAGGCCUUGGGGACCAGAGCCGCCCUGUAAGUGGGGGCCAGUGCUCUGGAGUCCCGGGCACUUUGAAGUCCAGGCAGCGGCUUGAGCCCCCUGUAAGCAGGGGUGCAGCCUCUUGGCCGCUGCUUUGCGUGCCCAGCUUCAUUUGCCCAGAGGGCCCGGCUCCCAGCACGGCGUGGGACUGCGCCGGACGUCGCCAUGAACCGUGGGACGGCGAGGCAAGAGCAAACUUGGAGCUGAAGAGGGACACGAGGGGCCCUCUGGGCAAAGGGCUUUUCCAGGCCAGGGCACCUUCAGGGUGCCGCGGCCGGCUUUGCGCUGGGCGACCUCCCUGUGCGCAGGGCUGGGUCUUUGCUGCGGUUGGCCUUUUGCCCUUGUGCUCCUUUGGCUGCCCGGAGAGAGGGGCAACCCUGUAAAGGAGGGUGAGUGCCCCUGUCUCCGCACCGGAGGGGGGAAACGGAGCUCUCCCGGCCCCCAGCCCAGCUACCCUGUAAGCAGGGCAGGGCUUUUCCCCAGCCCCGGCAGCUUUCUGCCUGCUGCCAGCCCCUGGCCAGUGUGACCCCCUGUACUCGGGGCGUGUCACAGCCCGUGUCCCCGUGCCAGGCCUGAAGCGCUUCAGCGCGUCGAGGCCCCUUGUGGCCUCCUCUCAGUGCACGGGCAGGUCUGAUGCUUUCCUCUCCCGCUCAGCAUUAGGAAUGGCUCCCUAGAGUAGGUUGGCUGCACAGAGCUUGCUCCCUCUUCUGGGACUGUCUGUCUCCCCCUCCCCUGUCUGUCUCCCCCUCCCCUGUCUUCCCCUUAGCUGGGUGUGAGUGAGGAAGUGUGUUUGUGCUUUAGCCCCCCGCUUUAGAAACAGAGCAGUGUAGCUCAGACUUCCCAGGAGGGAAAGAGGAGCUCUGUGCAGCCACAGGCGGGUGGCCAAAAUGCACGGGUGGCGAAAGCGUCCGGCCUUGCCCCUGCUUUCUGAGGACGGCGCGAAGCCGCUUAGCGGCAGCGUGGGCACCACGACCCGCCUGUAGCCAGGGCCUGGGCGUGCGCCCACGCUGCCGGUGGUGCUGGUGAACUGCCAGCGCGCGGGCCCCGUACUCGGGGCACGUGUCAGGACCUUGGCGGCACCCUUUGUCCCCAGGAGCAGCCCCGCCCAGGUCCCUGUAAGCAGGGCUGGGGAGGCUCCUUUAGCCAGGCGACAGGAACGAGCGCUCCCGGGCCCUUGCCAGGGGGCAGCUUGCAGAAGGGCCGUGCCGCAGGGCACGGUCCCGCCUUUGGCACUGCCUCGGGCUGGCGCCACAUGCCUGGCGGCCUUGUAGAGGAGGCUGCCGAGGCUCUGCAGACGGCUGUGCUGCCGUGCUGCGCUGCGGCCGGGCUCCGGCCUGUCCCUAAGUGGGGUGCAGGCCGGAGCCUGUGCUCCGCAGUGCUUGUUGGGGGGUGCCGGGCAGCAGGGGGCGGCCCCGUAAGUGGGGUUCUGUGCGUCCCCUGGCCUCGGCGGGCGGUUGGAGGGACCCCCUGUAAUCAGGCGGGUGUCCCUGGCCCCGGUCUUUCAGAGGCAUGGGGCCAGGAGUCAUGGGGCCGGGCGUGUGCCCUCCCUGUCCUCGGGGCUGGGCUCGCGGCCCCUCGGGCCCCUCGGCUUUAGGCCGUGAGCUCGACUGCCUGACUGUAGAGUCAGGUUCCUGUUGCCUUGGGGGAAGGCCGAGCUCCGUGGCUCCCUGGGUGUGGACCGGCCUGUAAGCAGGCUGCGGGUCUGGGAGCCUUUGUGCUCCCUUCAGCUGGCAGCCUGUGUGCGGCGCCCGCCCCGUUAGUGGGGAGCGCCCCGGAACUGGAGAGAAGGAGCCUCCAUAGGCCUUGGGGACCAGAGCCGCCCUGUAAGUGGGGGCCAGUGCUCUGGAGUCCCGGGCACUUUGAAGUCCAGGCAGCGGCUUGAGCCCCCUGUAAGCAGGGGUGCAGCCUCUUGGCCGCUGCUUUGCGUGCCCAGCUUCAUUUGCCCAGAGGGCCCGGCUCCCAGCACGGCGUGGGACUGCGCCGGACGUCGCCAUGAACCGUGGGACGGCGAGGCAAGAGCAAACUUGGAGCUGAAGAGGGACACGAGGGGCCCUCUGGGCAAAGGGCUUUUCCAGGCCAGGGCACCUUCAGGGUGCCGCGGCCGGCUUUGCGCUGGGCGACCUCCCUGUGCGCAGGGCUGGGUCUUUGCUGCGGUUGGCCUUUUGCCCUUGUGCUCCUUUGGCUGCCCGGAGAGAGGGGCAACCCUGUAAAGGAGGGUGAGUGCCCCUGUCUCCGCACCGGAGGGGGGAAACGGAGCUCUCCCGGCCCCCAGCCCAGCUACCCUGUAAGCAGGGCAGGGCUUUUCCCCAGCCCCGGCAGCUUUCUGCCUGCUGCCCGCCCCUGGCCAGUGUGACCCUCUGUACUCGGGGCGUGUCACAGCCCGUGUCCCCGUGCCAGGCCUGAAGCGCUUCAGCGCGUCGAGGCCCCUUGUGGCCUCCUCUCAGUGCACGGGCAGGUCUGAUGCUUUCCUCUCCCGCUCAGCAUUAGGAAUGGCUCCCUAGAGUAGGUUGGCUGCACAGAGCUUGCUCCCUCUUCUGGGACUGUCUGUCUCCCCCUCCCCUGUCUGUCUCCCCCUCCCCUGUCUUCCCCUUAGCUGGGUGUGAGUGAGGAAGUGUGUUUGUGCUUUAGCCCCCCGCUUUAGAAACAGAGCAGUGUAGCUCAGACUUCCCAGGAGGGAAAGAGGAGCUCUGUGCAGCCACAGG